UACGUAGGGGGCGAGCGUUGUCCGGAUUUAUUGGGCGUAAAGAGCUCGUAGGCGGCUUAGCAAGUCGGGUGUGAAAAACUCCAGGCUCAACCUGGAGACGCCACUCGAGACUGCUAUGGCUAGAGUCCGGUAGGGGACCACGGAAUUCCUGGUGUAGCGGUGAAAUGCGCAGAUAUCAGGAGGAACACCGGUGGCGAAGGCGGUGGUCUGGGCCGGCACUGACGCUGAGGAGCGAAAGCGUGGGGAGCAAACAGG
rnacentral:rRNA from 1 species